rnacentral:rRNA from 1 species
GACGAACGCUGGCGGCGUGCUUAACACAUGCAAGUCGAGCGGUAAGGCCCUUUCGGGGUACGACGAGCGGCGAACGGGUAGGAGUAACAACGUGGGUGGACCUCGCCCUCCAGCUCUGGGGAUAAGCCUGGGAAACGUGGGUCUAAUACUGGAUAUGACUCCACGGUGCAUGUCGUGGGGUGGAAAGCCUUGUGCGGCUGAGGAGUGGGCCCGCGGCCUAUCAGCUUGUUGGUGGGGUGAGGCCUACCAAGGCGACGACGGGUAGCCGGCCUGAGAGGGCGACCGGCCGACACUGGGACUGAGACACGGCCCAGACUCCUACGGGA